rnacentral:rRNA from 1 species
UACGUAGGCAGCAAGCGUUGUUCGGAUUCAUUGGGCGUAAAGGGUGCGUAGGCGGUCUUCUAAGUUUGAUGUGAAAUCCCGGGGCUCAACCCUGGAAUUGCAUUGAAUACUGGAGGACUAGAGUACCGGAGAGGAAACUGGAAUUUACGGUGUAGCAGUGAAAUGCGUAGAGAUCGUAAGGAAGACCAGUGGCGAAGGCGAGUUUCUGGACGGUAACUGACGCUGAGGCAACGAAGGCCCAGGGGGAGCAAACGGG